GACGAACGCUGGCGGCGUGCCUAAUACAUGCAAGUAGAACGCACAGGAUGCACCGUAGUUUACUACACCGUAUUCUGUGAGUUGCGAACGGGUGAGUAACGCGUAGGUAACCUGCCUGGUAGCGGGGGAUAACUAUUGGAAACGAUAGCUAAUACCGCAUAAGAACAUUUACUGCAUGGUAGAUGUUUAAAAGGUGCAAAUGCAUCACUACCAGAUGGACCUGCGUUGUAUUAGCUAGUAGGUGAGGUAACGGCUCACCUAGGCGACGAUACAUAGCCGACCUGAGAGGGUGAUCGGCCACACUGGGACUGAGACACGGCCCAGACUCCUACGGGAGGCAGCAGUAGGGAAUCUUCGGCAAUGGGGGGAACCCUGACCGAGCAACGCCGCGUGAGUGAAGAAGGUUUUCGGAUCGUAAAGCUCUGUUGUUAAGGAAGAACGAGUGUGAGAGAUGAAAAGUUCAUACUGUGACCGG
rnacentral:rRNA from 1 species